AGAGUUUGAUCAUGGCUCAGAUUGAACGCUGGCGGCAUGCUUUACACAUGCAAGUCGAACGGCAGCACGGGUGCUUGCACCUGGUGGCGAGUGGCGGACGGGUGAGUAAUACAUCGGAACGUAUCCUAAAGUGGGGGAUAACGCAUCGAAAGAUGUGCUAAUACCGCAUACACUCUGAGGAGGAAAGUAGGGGAUCGAAAGACCUUAUGCUUUUGGAGCGGCCGAUGUCUGAUUAGCUAGUUGGUAAGGUAAUGGCUUACCAAGGCAACGAUCAGUAGUUGGUCUGAGAGGACGACCAGCCACACUGGGACUGAGACACGGCCCAGACUCCUACGGGAGGCAGCAGUGGGGAAUUUUGGACAAUGGGCGCAAGCCUGAUCCAGCAAUGCCGCGUGAGUGAAGAAGGCCUUCGGGUUGUAAAGCUCUUUCAGUUGAGAAGAAAAGAUUGUGACUAAUAAUUGCAAUUCAUGACGGUAUCAACAGAAGAAGCACCGGCUAACUACGUGCCAGCAGCCGCGGUAAUACGUAGGGUGCGAGCGUUAAUCGGAAUUACUGGGCGUAAAGGGUGCGCAGGCGGUUCUGUAAGUCAGAUGUGAAAUCCCCGGGCUUAACCUGGGAACUGCGUUUGAAACUACAGAGCUAGAGUGUGGCAGAGGGGGGUGGAAUUCCAUGUGUAGCAGUGAAAUGCGUAGAGAUAUGGAAGAACAUCGAUGGCGAAGGCAG
rnacentral:rRNA from 1 species